CUGAGUGAAUAUGGGGACAGAGGAGGCCGCCAUACCUUCGGAAAAUCACAGCUGAAUUAUUUCACAUAUGUGAAGAGCGGCUACUGCGGAGGCCCUGGCAGGACGCAAAAACAAGACACUCGUCCCCUCUCCCACCGCUCCACCACCACCAGCCCAUCAAUCUGUUUCCAUCUGACCUUUACUGAGGGGCGUGUCAGCGCUACACUGAACCCACAUUGUGACUGCUGUCUUUCUGAUACAAGGUUAGGAUUGGCUGAAUGAUGUCCAAUCCAUACCUAGUGCUGCACGAGCAGAUGGGAAGGAAGAAAACCAUCCAGGAUGGAUGUGUCUACAGUACAUUAUACAGCAUGUAAGGCACGCUGAGGCGAGGCCUGAGCUGGGCCUUGGUGUUUGGGGCGGCGAGGUUUCCCUGUCACCGUGCUAACUCGAACGGAAAGCACUUCAGACUCGGACUGUCACAUCGACUUGGCUUUUUAUUUUAAGAUGGGAAGCAGUGCAGCCUCUCAAGCGAACUCAGCUUUUGGCAAACUAAGCUCAGGUUGGUUUGCGGAGUUGGCAAAAAACCCCCCCAAAAAAAACAGAAAUCCUGCAAACUUUGAAAAUCCGCCAAAUUCUCCCCGUUGUCUUGCUUUCCAGUUACAUUAACAAAGCACUGUCAUGUGCAUGUGUGGUGUGUCGUCUUAUCUUGGUUGUGUAGCCAAGGAGAAUUAAAUUGA